rnacentral:rRNA from 1 species
CAUGCAAGUCGAACGGCAGCACAGUAGAGCUUGCUCUAUGGGUGGCGAGUGGCGGACGGGUGAGUAAUGCAUCGGGAUCUACCCAAACGUGGGGGAUAACGUAGGGAAACUUACGCUAAUACCGCAUACGUCCUAUGGGAGAAAGCGGGGGAUCGCAAGACCUCGCGCGGUUGGACGAACCGAUGUGCGAUUAGCUAGUUGGUAGGGUAAAGGCCUACCAAGGCGACGAUCGCUAGCUGGUCUGUGAUCAGCCACACUGGAACUGAGACACGGUCCAGACUCCUACGGGAGGCAGCAGUGGGGAAUAUUGGACAAUGGGCGCAAGCCUGAUCCAGCAAUGCCGCGUGUGUGAAGAAGGCCUUCGGGUUGUAAAGCACUUUUAUCAGGAGCGAAAUGCCAUGGGUUAAUACCCUAUGGAGCUGACGGUACCUGAGGAAUAAGCACCGGCUAACUUCGUGCCAGCAGCCGCGGUAAUACGAAGGGUGCAAGCGUUAAUCGGAAUUACUGGGCGUAAAGCGUGCGUAGGCGGUGACUUAAGUCUGCUGUGAAAUCCCCGGGCUCAACCUGGGAAUGGCAGUGGAUACUGGGUCGCUAGAGUGUGAUAGAGGAUGGUGGAAUUCCCGGUGUAGCGGUGAAAUGCGUAGAGAUCGGGAGGAACAUCAGUGGCGAAGGCGGCCAUCUGGAUCAACACUGACGCUGAGGCACGAAAGCGUGGGGAGCAAACAGGAUUAGAUACCCUGGUAGUCCACGCCCUAAACGAUGCGAACUGGAUGUUGGUCUCAACUCGGAGAUCAGUGUCGAAGCUAACGCGUUAAGUUCGCCGCCUGGGGAGUACGGUCGCAAGACUGAAACUCAAAGGAAUUGACGGGGGCCCGCACAAGCGGUGGAGUAUGUGGUUUAAUUCGAUGCAACGCGAAGAACCUUACCUGGCCUUGACAUGUCUGGAAUCCUGCAGAGAUGCGGGAGUGCCUUCGGGAAUCAGAACACAGGUGCUGCAUGGCUGUCGUCAGCUCGUGUCGUGAGAUGUUGGGUUAAGUCCCGCAACGAGCGCAACCCUUGUCCUUAGUUGCCAGCACGUAAUGGUGGGAACUCUAAGGAGACUGCCGGUGACAAACCGGAGGAAGGUGGGGAUGACGUCAUCAUGGCCCUUACGGCCAGGGCUACACACGUACUACAAUGGUCGGUACAGAGGGUUGCAAUACCGCGAGGUGGAGCCAAUCCCAGAAAGCCGAUCCCAGUCCGGAUUGGAGUCUGCAACUCGACUCCAUGAAGUCGGAAUCGCUAGUAAUCGCAGAUCAGCUAUGCUGCGGUGAAUACGUUCCCGGGCCUUGUACACACCGCCCGUCACACCAUGGGAGUGAGUUGCUCCAGAAGCCGUUAGUC